AUUGAACGCUGGCGGCAGGCUUAACACAUGCAAGUCGAGCGGGGUGAUGGUGCUUGCACUAUCACUUAGCGGCGGACGGGUGAGUAAUGCUUAGGAAUCUGCCUAUUAGUGGGGGACAACAUCUCGAAAGGGAUGCUAAUACCGCAUACGUCCUACGGGAGAAAGCAGGGGAUCGCUUGUGACCUUGCGCUAAUAGAUGAGCCUAAGGCGGAUUAGCUAGUUGGUGGGGUAAAGGCCUACCAAGGCGACGAUCUGUAGCGGGUCUGAGAGGAUGAUCCGCCACACUGGGACUGAGACACGGCCCAGACUCCUACGGGAGGCAGCAGUGGGGAAUAUUGGACAAUGGGGGGAACCCCGAUCCAGCCAUGCCGCGUGUGUGAAGAAGGCCUUAUGGUUGUAAAGCACUUUAAGCGAGGAGGAGGCUCUUUUGGUUAAUACCCAAGAUGAGUGGACGUUACUCGCAGAAUAAGCACCGGCUAACUCUGUGCCAGCCGCCGCGGUAA
rnacentral:rRNA from 1 species